GUGGGGGAGCAAGGGCAGUUAGGAAUAGAACUCUGACAGCAAAACCCAGGGGGCCAGUCACCCAGACCCAGCAGGACUCUCUCUCCACCUUGUUAGCUCACUAUACCCUCACCCAUUCAUUCUGAAAUAUUUACUAAGUAAUUCCCACCAUUGAGGAACUGUGCUAAAAUCAGGACAGCAGACCGCCAUGGCAACAGCGAGAUGCUGGUACAGUGAGCACACACCCAGAGCAGAUGAAGGCUGAAGACAGAAACGACAUGGCAAGAAGCAGUGGCCCGAAAUGGGGCCUUGUCACCUUGCAGAAGUUCAGCCAGAUGUUAUUACCAGGCUUCAUCCAGAGAUGUGACACAAUCUCAGCUGAAAAAGACACCAAGGAAUCUGCAAAACUGGAGAGUAGGAGAAACAGUGAGAAUGGAGUCAGAUCCCAAGACAGAAAGGAGUUAUAGUAGCUGCUGAAUUUUACCUAUGAGGUCCUGGAAAGCCUUGAAGUGUCUCAAACCAAAUACUAAAAGUAACAGGGCUUAUGGGAAAAACAGGGUUGUAGCAGAUCACUACACACACACAAACCAAAACCCAAUCCAGCUUUGUACCCAGAGGCCUCAUCAAAAAACACCCCAGCAAAGGUGAAUCUCCACUUGCAUUUACACCUAGAAUCUCAGUCAGUCCAUCAUUCUCAGCUUUAUACACUGGGGCCCAUGCCCCCUCCUUCAAAUCAUAGGUCCUUGAAAACUUGCACGUCUAGGGAAGUUUUGUAAAACUUACACAUAUAAUCUGACAUGGUUUCUGU